rnacentral:rRNA from 1 species
UACGGAGGGUGCGAGCGCUGUCCGGAAUCACUGGGCGUAAAGGGCUCGUAGGCGGCCAACUAAGUCACACGUGAAAUCCCCAGGCUUAACCUGGGAACUGCGUGUGAUACUGGAUGGCUUGAAUCCGGGAGAGGGAUGCAGAAUUCCAGGUGUAGCGGUGAAAUGCGUAGAUAUCUGGAGGAAUACCGGUGGCGAAGGCGGCAUCCUGGACCGGCAUUGACGCUGAUGAGCGAAAGCUAGGGGAGCAAACGGG